rnacentral:rRNA from 1 species
GAUGAACGCUGGCGGCGUGCUUAACACAUGCAAGUCGAACGAUGAAAGCGGGAGCUUGCUCCUGCUGGAUUAGUGGCGAACGGGUGAGUAACACGUGAGCAAUCUGCCCCGAACUCUGGGAUAAGCGUUGGAAACGACGUCUAAUACCGGAUACGACGCGCGAAGGCAUCUUCUGCGCGUGGAAAGAACUGCGGUUCGGGAUGAGCUCGCGGCCUAUCAGCUAGUUGGUGAGGUAACGGCCCACCAAGGCGACGACGGGUAGCCGGCCUGAGAGGGUGACCGGCCACACUGGGACUGAGACACGGACCAGACUCCUACGGGAGGCAGCAGUAAGGAAUAUUGGUCAAUGGAGGCAACUCUGAACCAGCCAUGCCGCGUGCAGGAUGAAGGCGCUAUGCGUCGUAAACUGCUUUUGUACAAGAGAAAACCACUGUUCGUGAACGGUGUUGAUAGUAUUGUAAGAAUAAGGAUCGGCUAACUUCGUGCCAGCAGCCGCAGUAACAC